GGGACGGUAGCUCAGACCGGUAGAGCGCUACCCUGAAGAGGUAGUUGUCGCGUGUUCGAAUCACGCUCGUCCCACCA
rnacentral:tRNA from 1 species